rnacentral:rRNA from 1 species
CUCGUUGGUGAGGUAAUAGCUCACCAAGGCUAAGAUGGGUAGGUGGUGUGAGAGCACGGUCAGCCACCGCGGAAUUGAGACACGGUCCGCACUCGUAUGGGAGGCAGCAAUUCGGAAUCGUGUGCAAUGGGGGCAACCCUGACGCAGCGACACAGCGUGGAGGAGGAAGGUAUUCGGAUUGUAAACUCCUUUUAUAUGGGAAGAAUAGAUGACGGUACCAUAUGAAUAAGGACCUGCUAACUACGUGCCAGAAGCAUCGGUAAUGCGUAGGGUCCAAACGUUAUCCGGAUUUACUGGGGGUAAAGAGAUUCGUAGGCGGUUUGAUAAGUCGAGAGUUAAAUACUUCGGUUCAAUCGAAGAGAAGCUUUCGAAACUAUCAGACGUGAGACAUAGAGGGGUGAACGGAAUUCCGAGUGGAGGGGUGAAAUACGUUGAUAUUCGGAGGAACAUCAGUGGCGAAGGUGGUUCAGAGCCUAUUGUCUGACGGUAAGGCUCGAAAGCGUGGGUAGCAAAACGGAUUAGAUACCAGGGUAGUACACGCGGUAAAUGAUCGAUGUUAGGUGUUUGGUAGGAGACUUUCUUUCUUCGGAUGUAAGGGGAAUU